UCUGUGUGUAACUCUCCAGCAUCUGAGCAGGUUGUGAAAACUGGGAAUCUGACCUGAAUCUUCUUGGAUUCUUCUCACUUAGGCCUUACCAGGGAUCACUAUGGGAAAUAGUCACAGGACAGGUUGGUUUCCCUGUUCUCCAGAACACAAAUGUCCUGAUGGAAUUGGCCAUUGCUAUGGGAUCUGAUUCAGAUUCACCUGGUUUGGAAGAAAGACCAAACCUGUCCUGAACAGGGUGAGGCAGGAGAAGAAGGCCUGGAAAGGGAGAGCACAGCCCUGAGCAUGGAGCAGACCAAAGUCUUUAUACAGUGCCAACAGUUUGUCAACGUUGAGUCCCGCCGCUUUGUUCUACACUGAGUUCCUUCCAACGUGAAGGGCGCUUACCUCAGCCGGAUAAUCAUCCAUCAGGGCUGUUCACAGAGAUACCCUCUGUUUGCGGAGAGGCUGAACUAGAUGACUUGGCUGAGUGUCAGAAGGCCUCAGGAGCAUACAGGUUACCAGACCAGACCUUUCUGUCAGAGUCCACCAGAGUAUGCAUGCUCAGCUGUAAGGACACAGAAAUCAAAUCAAAGGCCUGCGGUUCUUCCCAAGGCAUGAUAGCUGUGGUUUGACGUUAACCUGGGUCUCAUCUCCAGCCUGCUUUUUAGUGCUCUAGACAAUGUUGCUGGAUUCAUUUGCUUGGCUGCCUCAAACCAAAGAAACCACUUCAUGAAAGCAAGAGAGUAAACCUGACAUCUCCAAUCUGCUCGGUUCCCUUUCAUGUGGUGUCUGCUUGAAUAGAGCUGAAAUUAAAGUGUGCUAAUGUGAGAAAUUGCCAGCUUGGACCUAAUACAUGAUGUGCACAUACAACUCAAUCCUGUGGAUUCUGAACACUUUGUGACAGUGUUUUAGAACUCAAUG